CCUACGGGUGGCUGCAGUGGGGGAUAUUGCACAAUGGGGGGAACCCUGAUGCAGCGACGCCGCGUGGGUGAAGGAGCGUUUCGGCGCGUAAAGCCCUAUCGGCAGGGAAGAAGGAGGACGGUACCUGACUAAGAAGCCCCGGCUAACUACGUGCCAGCAGCCGCGGUAAUACGUAGGGGGCAAGCGUUAUCCGGAUUUACUGGGUGUAAAGGGGGCGCAGACGGCGGGGGAAGCCAGGGGUGAAAGCCCGGGGCCCAACCCCGGGACUGAUCUUGGAACGGGGCGGUUGGGGGGCAGGGGGGGCAGGCGGAAUUCCUGGUGUAGCGGUGAAAGGCGUAGAUAACAGGAGGAACACCGGGGGCGAAGGCGGCCUGCUGGACUGCGACUGACGUUGAGGCCCGAAAGCGUGGGGAGCAAACAGGAUUAGAUACCCUAUAGUC
rnacentral:rRNA from 1 species